CGGACGGGUGAGUAACGCGUGAGAACCUGCCCUUGGGAGGGGGACAACCACUGGAAACGGUGGCUAAUACCGGAUGUGCCGAAAGGUGAAAGGUUAACUGCCUGAAGAUGAGCUCGCGUCUGAUUAGCUAGUUGGAAGUGUAAUGGACUCCCAAGGCGACGAUCAGUAGCUGGUCUGAGAGGACGAUCAGCCACACUGGGACUGAGACACGGCCCAGACUCCUACGGGAGGCAGCAGUGGGGAAUUUUCCGCAGUGGGCGAAAGCCUGACGGAGCAAUACCGCGUGAGGGAGGAAGGCUCUUGGGUCGUAAACCUCUUUUCUCAGGGAAGAACACAAUGACGGUACCUGAGGAAUAAGCAUCGGCUAACUCCGUGCCAGCAGCCGCGGUAAUACGGAGGAUGCAAGCGUUAUCCGGAAUGAUUGGGCGUAAAGCGUCCGCAGGUGGCAAUGUAAGUCUGCUGUUAAAGAGUCUAGCUCAACUAGAUAAGAGCAGUGGAAACUACAUAGCUAGAGUACGUUCGGGGCAGAGGGAAUUCCUGGUGUAGCGGUGAAAUGCGUAGAGAUCAGGAAGAACACCAGUGGCGAAGGCGCUCUGCUAGGCCGUAACUGACACUGAGGGACGAAAGCUAGGGGAGCGAAUGGGAUUAGAUACCCCAGUAGUC
rnacentral:rRNA from 1 species